CUUUGGCACCCGCAGCUCCUGCCACAGAAAGGUCAGGCACUAACUUUAGCUUCUCUCCCAGGCACCAGAGAUGUGGCAGCCUGAUCUGGUUACAGCUUUGAGUCUCCCGCACAUCGCAAGCAGAAGGUCACACAUUCUUGGGUGGACCUUUCCAUAGGCUUUCUGGGAUGGGGGAAGGAAGGAAGGAAGGAGAAAAAGUUCUCAAGUCUCUGCGGCUAGGGCUGCUUCCUGCCGGCUGUGACUCAGCAGCCCAGCUCCGGAAAGUCAGAUUGAAGGGCAGAGGAGUUUGCAAGGGGAGAUGGAGGAUACCAAGAGACUCUGAAGAAAGUUCAUUUGGCUCAGGAGCUGCCUUCCACCUAGAAACCGGUGCCCGCACUGUGGGAGAAGAUGCAGAUCAAGAAUAGGGCUCCACAGCCACCUACGGACCCACCGCCAGGUCACUACACUUGGAGGUCCAUCAUCCUCGGACUAUGAGGGAUUGCCUAAGAGAAGAGAUAAGAAGAACAUCUCCAGCAGAUUCACACCACAGCCUGCUGCCUCACCUUGCUGGAAAGUUCAGUGAAGAAGUUCCGGGCCAACCCAACAAUUUCUUCCUCAGGAU